CAGCCGCCGCGGGAAUACGUAGGUCCCGAGCGUUGUCCGGAUUUAUUGGGCGUAAAGCGAGCGCAGGCGGUUAGAUAAGUCUGAAGUUAAAGGCUGUGGCUUAACCAUAGUACGCUUUGGAAACUGUUUAACUUGAGUGCAAGAGGGGAGAGUGGAACUCCAUGUGUAGCGGUGAAAUGCGUAGAUAUAUGGAGGAACACCGGUGGCGAAAGCGGCUCUCUGGCUUGUAACUGACGCUGAGGCUCGAAAGCGUGGGGAGCAAACAGGAUUAGAUACCCCAGUAGUCCCUGUCUCUUAUACC
rnacentral:rRNA from 1 species